rnacentral:lncRNA from 13 species
AUGAUUGGCUGCUUGUUGUUGCUGGGCAGAACAGAGCAGGCUUGGCGGGCUUUUCUCAGGGCAGCAGGAAGCCUGGGGGGAGGGUGGGGGCAAGAAACCUGGGGGAAAGAUGGCGGGACUUUCUACCAAACAUAUAUCUUCUGUUUUAUAGUAUCAGAUGAGGUUCUGAGGCUCACGCCCAUAAUCCUAGCUCUUCGGGAGGCCAACGCGGGAGGAUUAUUUGGGUCCAGAAGAUGGAGACUAGUCUGGGAAACAUGUCUAGGAAAUUGGAUUGCUGUCAAAGCAGCCAGGACAUGUGGAACCAGAUUCUGGAGAAAAGGGGAGACUCAACUGAGCUACAAUUGAGUUGAGCCCAACUUUCUAGGCACCGUUUCUCCCCUUGGGACAUCUGUUGAAUCUGAGUACAGGACAAAGAUCUGGAAAGCUUGGCAGGAAACAGUACUGAAUCUACAAAUUGAAGUUGCCAGAAAGAGAUUUAAAAAUCACUGUGACUUAUAUGUACCUUAAAGUAGAUAAAAAGAUA